CCGGAUUUAUUGGGCGUAAAGCGAGCGCAGGCGGUUAGAUAAGUCUGAAGUGAAAGGCAGUGGCUCAACCAUUGUAGGCUUUGGAAACUGUUUAACUUGAGUGCAGAAGGGGAGAGUGGAAUUCCAUGUGUAGCGGUGAAAUGCGUAGAUAUAUGGAGGAACACCGGUGGCGAAAGCGGCUCUCUGGUCUGUAACUGACGCUGAGGCUCGAAAGCGUGGGGAGCGAACAGGAUUAGAUACCCUGGUAGUCCACGCCGUAAACGAUGAGUGCUAGGUGUUAGGUCCUUUCCGGGACUUAGUGCCGCAGCUAACGCAUUAAGCACUCCGCCUGGGGAGUACGACCGCAAGGUUGAAACUCAAAGGAAUUGACGGGGGCCCGCACAAGCGGUGGAGCAUGUGGUUUAAUUCGAAGCAACGCGAAGAACCUUACCAGGUCUUGACAUCCCUCUGACCACUCUAGAGAUAGAGUUUCCCUUCGGGGCAGAGGUGACAGGUGGUGCAUGGUUGUCGUCAGCUCGUGUCGUGAGAUGUUGGGUUAAGUCCCGCAACGAGCGCAACCCUUAUUGUUAGUUGCCAUCAUUCAGUUGGGCACUCUAGCGAGACUGCCGGUAAUAAACCGGAGGAAGGUGGGGAUGACGUCAAAUCAUCAUGCCCCUUAUGACCUGGGCUACACACGUGCUACAAUGGCUGGUACAACGAGUCGCAAGCCGGUGACGGCAAGCUAAUCUCUGAAAGCCAGUCUCAGUUCGGAUUGUAGGCUGCAACUCGCCUACAUGAAGUCGGAAUCGCUAGUAAUCGCGGAUCAGCACGCCGCGGUGAAUACGUUCCCGGGCCUUGUACACACCGCCCGUCACACCACGAGAGUUUGUAACACCCGAAGUCGGUGAGGUAACCGUAAGGAGCCAGCCGCCUAAGG
rnacentral:rRNA from 1 species